UGGGGAAUAUUGGACAAUGGGCGAAAGCCUGAUCCAGCCAUGCCGCGUGUGUGAAGAAGGCCUUUUUGUUGUUAAGCACUUUAAGCGAGGAGGAGGCUACUUGGAUUAAUACUCUAGGAUAGUGGACGUUACUCGCAGAAUAAGCACCGGCUAACUCUGUGCCAGCAGCCGCGGUAAUACAGAGGGUGCGAGCGUUAAUCGGAUUUACUGGGCGUAAAGCGUGCGUAGGCGGCUUCUUAAGUCGGAUGUGAAAUCCCUGAGCUUAACUUAGGAAUUGCAUUCGAUACUGGGAAGCUAGAGUAUGGGAGAGGAUGGUAGAAUUCCAGUUGUAGCGGUGAAAUGCGUGGAGAUCUGGAGGAAUACCGAUGGCGAAGGCAGCCAUCUGGCCUAAUACUGACGCUGAGGUACGAAAGCAUGGGGGGCAAACAGG
rnacentral:rRNA from 1 species